AAAGGUAAGCUACUAAGAGCGAAUGGUGGAUGCCUUGACUGGUAAAGGCGAUGAAGGACGUACUAGACUGCGAUAAGCUACGGGGAGCUGUCAAGAAGCUUUGAUCCGUAGAUUUCCGAAUGGGGCAACCCAAUGUAUAGAGAUAUACAUUACCUAUAUAGGAGCGAACGAGGGGAAUUGAAACAUCUUAGUACCCUCAGGAAAAGAAAUCAAUAGAGAUUGCGUCAGUAGCGGCGAGCGAAAGCGCAAGAGGGCAAACCCAGUGCUUGCACUGGGGGUUGUAGGACUGCAAUGUGCAAGAGGUAAGUUUAGCAGAACAUUCUGGAAAGUAUAACCAUAGAGGGUGAUAGUCCCGUAUGCGAAAAACAAACCUUAGCUAGCAGUAUCCUGAGUAGGGCGGGACACGAGGAAUCCUGUCUGAAUCCGGGUCGACCACGAUCCAACCCUAAAUACUAAUACCAGAUCGAUAGUGCACAAGUACCGUGAGGGAAAGGUGAAAAGAACUGAGGUGAUCAGAGUGAAAUAGAACCUGAAACCA
rnacentral:rRNA from 1 species